rnacentral:rRNA from 1 species
AGAGUUUGAUCAUGGCUCAGAAUCAACGCUGGCGGCGCGCUUAACACAUGCAAGUCGAACGAGAAAGCGGGAGCAAUCUCGCAAGUAAAGUGGCGUACGGGUGAGUAACACGUGGGUAAUCUACCUCUUGGUGGGGAAUAACGCUGGGAAACCGGCGCUAAUACCGCAUACGCUCGAGAGAGGAAAGCAGCAAUGCGCUGAGAGAGGAGCCCGCGGCCGAUUAGCUAGUUGGUGAGGUAACGGCCCACCAAGGCAAAGAUCGGUAGCCGGCCUGAGAGGGCACACGGCCACACUGGCACUGAAACACGGGCCAGACUCCUACGGGAGGCAGCAGUGGGGAAUCUUGCACAAUGGGGGCAACCCUGAUGCAGCGACGCCGCGUGAGCGAUGAAGCCCUUCGGGGUGUAAAGCUCUUUCGGCAGGGAAGAAUAAUGACGGUACCUGCAGAAGCAGCUGCGGCUAACUACGUGCCAGCAGCCGCGGUAAUACGUAGGCAGCGAGCGUUGUUCGGAGUUACUGGGCGUAAAGGGUGUGUAGGCGGUUCUCCAAGUUUGGUGUGAAAUCUCCCGGCUCAACCGGGAGGGUGCGCCGAAAACUGGGGGGCUAGAGUGCGGGAGGGGAGAGUGGAAUUCCUGGUGUAGCGGUGAAAUGCGUAGAUAUCAGGAGGAACCCGGUGGUGUAGACGGCUCUCUGGACCGUAACUGACGCUGAAACACGAAAGCGUGGGUAGCAAACAGGAUUAGAUACCCCCGUAGUCC